UGGGGAAUAUUGCACAAUGGGCGCAAGCCUGAUGCAGCCAUGCCGCGUGUAUGAAGAAGGCCUUCGGGUUGUAAAGUACUUUCAGCGAGGAGGAAGGCGUUGUGGUUAAUAACCGCAGCGAUUGACGUUACUCGCAGAAGAAGCACCGGCUAACUCCGUGCCAGCAGCCGCGGUAAUACGGAGGGUGCAAGCGUUAAUCGGAAUUACUGGGCGUAAAGCGCACGCAGGCGGUCUGUUAAGUCGGAUGUGAAAUCCCCGGGCUCAACCUGGGAACUGCAUCCGAAACUGGCAGGCUAGAGUCUUGUAGAGGGGGGUAGAAUUCCAGGUGUAGCGGUGAAAUGCGUAGAGAUCUGGAGGAAUACCGGUGGCGAAGGCGGCCCCCUGGACAAAGACUGACGCUCAGGUGCGAAAGCGUGGGGAGCAAACA
rnacentral:rRNA from 1 species